rnacentral:rRNA from 1 species
AUUGAACGCUGGCGGCAUGCCUUACACAUGCAAGUCGAACGGCAGCACGGGAGCAAUCCUGGUGGCGAGUGGCGAACGGGUGAGUAAUACAUCGGAACGUGCCCAGUGGUGGGGGAUAGCCCGGCGAAAGCCGGAUUAAUACCGCAUACGACCUAUGGGUGAAAGCGGGGAUCGCAAGACCUCGCGCUAUUGGAUCGGCCGAUGGCAGAUUAGCUUGUUGGUGGGGUAAAAGCCUACCAAGGCUACGAUCUGUAGCUGGUCUGAGAGGACGACCAGACACACUGGGACGAAGAAACGGCCCAGACUCCUACGGGAGGCAGCAGUGGGGAAUUUUGGACAAUGGGGGCAACCCUGAUUCAGCCAUGCCGCGUGCGGGAAGAAGGCCUUCGGGUUGUAAACCGCUUUUGUCAGGGAAGAAACGGUCUAAUCUAAUAAAUUGGACUAAUGACGGUACCUGUAGAAUAAGCACCGGCUAACUACGUGCCAGCCGCCGCAGUAAGAC